UGCUGGUGAUGAAGCAAAUGGUAUAUACAUUAUGUAUGAAAACUAUGAUUACAUACAUACCUCUACUGCCUUCCUUCUGAAGCU